UUGCUUGGAGAUCCGCCAACAAAAGCAUCCAGUCACCAGCGUGAGGAUUAGGGGGACCAGCCAGUGAAAGAAUUGUUAAGAAACAAGUAUAUAUCCAGCUGGAAGAAAAUAUGAAUUUUAUAACACAUACACACUCUCACUGAAAUAAAAAGCAAGGCAUGCAGAAGCACACUGAGAAUAGAGAAAUGGAGAUCAACACAUUAAGAAGUACAAAGAACAAAGCUACAGCCCACCUUGUGUCGAAAAACAGAAAAUGCAGCGUUCAAAAUCCGUUUUUGUAAGCAGAGCGCCCAUCUUCAGCAAGAUGCUGGACACAAGGAUAACUUGAGGUUCGUAAAUGUCACUGCUGUUGCCAGGGGACAUGCUCCCAUGUGUUAUGUCAGUGGGAAAAC
rnacentral:lncRNA from 14 species